GGCGGCCUCGUGGUCUAUGAAAUGCCUUUUUAUACUUAAAAGUAUGACUUAAAACCUGUAAAAAACCCGUACAGUAUGUAUGGUUUUUACAAUCGUUGUUACAGAUAUAAAAAGAUACUGCCAAAGUUUAUUGCAUGAAGAAAGAGAGAGAAAAGAAUACCAAGUCCCUAAUCCCCCAAUAAUUUAUAUUUAUUUUUAUUACCCCUGCUUUGUUCAAUUUCAGAAGUGACUUGAAACGUGUAGAAAGCUCGGACAGAAUUAUUUAUAAACUUUAUUACUAAACUAGAAACCUUGC